CUGCACAGCAAGCCGCUGCCAGGGCCUGGACUUGGGUUUGGGAGCCUCCGGCGAUACGAAGGAUGCCCCUUCCUGCCCAUUCCCCGCCCACUCCAGGCCCUGAUACCCGGCUUCCCAGCACCCAUCAUGAGGAUUUUAAAGUGGGCAACUGCCUGACCCCUCAGGGAAGGAAAGGGCUCCCAAAAUGACCCAAGGGGUCCGUGUGUGGCACGGAGGAUCUGGGGGAGAUUUGGGUGCAGUGAACUUCCAGAGAGUUCACCCAGGCCAGGUUUGGUGAAGCCACAAUGGCUCCCUGGGGUGUGUGACCCACAAGUAUGACGUCACAGUGGGAUUUGGAGGUGUGGCUGGCACCUUUGAGUUCAUUUCUUUUUGAACCUUGAAGGACUCCAGGCACCUCUCCAUCCCAGCCCUCUCUCUCCCCUUUUCUCAGCCCAGAAAGGGGAGGAUGGGAUGGGGCAGGUCCCACGACCUUUCAUCCAUUUGACAAGUGAACUUGGAGAUCCUUCUCAAGGACAGGCACAAGCAGAGAUGACCACAAGUCCAAAUCUGUAAGGAAACGCCAGUUAGAAAGAAAGCUAUGCAUUUUUAAAACCCACCAUGGUGCGAUAAGGAUUUCAAUCAGCGUACUUUACAUGCUAGGUGCAAAGCAUGUGGUCUCGACCAUCACAGAGGAGCAAGGGACUAAGGGGACCUAAACGAGGAAUGCUCCAAGAGGAAAGGGGGGUGAGCCCUGUCUCCGCACCUGUGUGCGAGAUCCCAUCAGUGGAGGACGUUUGUGGCGAAGAGGAGGAGGAGGAAGAAGAAACAGGGAACGAGACACUCCUCCAAGUGCCCAGGCAGGAGUCGGAGUGGGGGCUGAUGGCCUGGCCCAGGUACUCCCGAGAGCAGGCUCCGUGGUGGGAAGACAUAUAUUUCUCCUUGCCCCCCCUCCCUGCGACCUGCCUCUGUAAUUGCAGCCUGAUGACAAAGCUUUCCUUUGAUUGACAACUUGGGGCCAACUGUCCCUGUCUCCACAGUGAAAUUCUAUCGCCUCCCCUUUCCUGUGAUGCUCAGGCCAAAACAAGCAUCUACAUAAAGUAUCUACAUAAAGGAUCCCAGCCAGGACACCACAGGACAUUUAGUUAUGGUGUCUCCUCAGGCUCCUCUGUGCUGUGACCAUUUCUUAGACUUUCCUUAUUUUUGACGACCUUGACAGUUUCAAGGAGCACUGGCCAGGUAUCUUGUAGCAUGUUUCUCUGUUGGAGUUUGAUGUUUUUCUCAUGACUAGACUAGGGUUAUGGGUUUUAGGGAUGAAGAUUGCAGAGGUAAAGUGCCAUUUGUGUCACACCAUAUGUAGGGUAUGUGACUAUUGAUGUGGGCCUUGAACACGUGGCUUAAAUAGUGUUUCUCAACUCUCUUCACUGCAAAGUUGGUCUUUCCCACCACCCCUGUCCAUACUGUCCUAUUUGGAGGGAAGUCACCAUGCUCAGCCCGCAUGACUUAAGUGCUGGGGAGUCAUGCCCUCCCUCCUUGAGGGCAGAGUAGCUGCAUAAAUUAUUUGGAUUUCUUCUGCAUGAGAGAUUUCUCUCUCU